rnacentral:tRNA from 1 species
GUGGUUGUGACUUAGUGGUAGAGUGCGUGCCUAGCAUGCGUGAGGCACUGGGUUCAAUCCUCAGCACCACA